rnacentral:rRNA from 1 species
UACGUAGGGGGCAAGCGUUAUCCGGAAUUAUUGGGCGUAAAGAGUGCGUAGGUGGUUAUCUAAGCGUAAGGUUUAAGCGUGCAGCUCAACUGCAUCUCGCCUUGCGAACUGGACUACUUGAGUGCAGGAGGGGAAAGCGGAAUUCCUAGUGUAGCGGUGAAAUGCGUAGAUAUUAGGAGGAACACCAGCGGCGAAGGCGGCUUUCUGGAAUGUAACUGACACUGAGGCACGAAAGCGUGGGGAGCAAACAGG